CCUACGGGUGGCAGCAGUGAGGAAUAUUGGUCAAUGGACGCAAGUCUGAACCAGCCAAGUCGCGUGCAGGAAGACUGCUCUAUGAGUUGUAAACUGCUUUUGUACGAGGGUAAACGCAGAUACGCGUAUCUUUCUGAAAGUAACGUACGAAUAAGGAUCGGCUAACUCCGUGCCAGCAGCCGCGGUAAUACGGAGGAUCCGAGCGUUAUCCGGAUUUAUUGGGUUUAAAGGGUGCGUAGACGGUCGGAUAAGUUAGAGGUGAAAGUCAGAGGCUCAACCUCGGAAUUGCAUCUGAUACUGGCCGGCUAGAGAGUAGUUGCGGUAGGCGGAAUGUGUGGUGUAGCGGUGAAAUGCUUAGAGAUCACACAGAACACCGAUUGCGAAGGCAGCUUACCAAGCUACUUCUGACGUUGAGGCACGAAAGCGUGGGGAGCAAACAGGAUUAGAUACCCGUGUAGUC
rnacentral:rRNA from 1 species